rnacentral:lncRNA from 1 species
UGCACUGAGAUAUGUCUGUUUUAUCUACUCUGUAUAGGAGGAGAAACUAGAGAACAUUGAAAAGUUGAGGUCAGUGUCAGGCGUGACUAUCUAAGUGAAAAGAAUGGGCAUCCACAGAGCAUGGUCUGAGAGGGACUGGAAAGACCGAGGAUUCAGCAGGAAGAAAGGAUUGAAGUGGAACUUCAACUACUUCACAGAGUCAGCCUUGCCAACUUCUGGAUUUUCUGAGUCAUCAGAAGCUUCAGUAUGUAAGAUGUUUCUACUUUCUGUGUUGUUAAAAUAUCCUGCUUUUGCCUUUGUGGCAUCUUCCUUAGCUUCCAUGCUUAAGUGCUUCCACACCACAAAGUCAGCUGCUGAAAAUAAAAUCAUCUUUCUGCCUUUGCCUAUACAUCUAGCAGAUCCGUCCAAAUGCUUCUACUUCCUGUUCAACAUCACUGACGAAAUCAUAGAAAGAACUCCAGCAUCAUCUGACUAAGCCACAAUCACUGAAGCAAGAGAAUGCUUAUUUAAAGAACCAGGUUGCACUGGGGGGAGCAAGCUGCCAUGUUGUUGGAAGCCCAAUGGAGCGGCAGAUGUGGCAUGAGUUUGAAAGAGGAUCCGUCAGCCUCAGUCAAGUCUUGAGAAGACUACAACUUCAUGAGAAAGGUUGAGGUAGAACCAUUCAGUUAGGCUGCCUUCAGAUUCUUGACCCACAGAAACUGUGAGAAACAGUUCAUUAUUUUAAGCUGCUGAGUUUCAGCAUAAGUUGGUCAAUAGUAAUAGAUAACUAAUAUGACCAUUUUCCCCAUCCUCAAAAAUUUUCAUUUGAAUGCCUGUAUCUAUAGAAAGAUUAAACAUUGUUUUUCAUUUGUUCAUCAGUCAUUUGUAGUUCUCUUGUUGAGAAUUAUCUGUCAUAAUGUUUUCCUUAUCAAUUCAUAUGUAUUAAAGAUACAACUCUUUAACCAUCAUAUAUGUUGCAGAUACUCUUUUCUCAGUUUUCCAUUUUUUUUAUAUUUCUCUAGACACUGAAGUUGUUUGAUAUAACAAAGCACUUCAUGGGACCAGACUAGUGGGAUAGUGGUUAAGUUCACACCCUCUGCUUCAGCAGCCCUUGGUUUGCGGGUUCAGAUCCCAGGUGUGGACCUACACACUGCUCAUCAAGCCAUGCUGUGGCAGUAUCCCACAUACAAAAUAGAGGAAGAGUGGAACAGAUGUUAGCUCAGGGCCAAUCUUCCUCAUCAGAAAAAAAACUAUUUCAAUUUGUUGUUAAAAAAAUCUGUUCAUGUUUCCUUUUAUGGUUUCUUCUCUUGUAUUUAUGCAGAGAAAAGUCU